rnacentral:tRNA from 1 species
UCCUAGGUGGCUCAGUCGGUUGAGCAUCUGACUUUGGCUCAGGUCAUGAUCUUGGGGUUCAUGGGUUUGAGCCCCACUUUAGGCU